rnacentral:rRNA from 1 species
GUCGCCAGCUUACCCUGUGAAGGUCUAACAGUAAGCAAAAUGGGUCCAACCCAAAACGUCAGGUCGAGGUGUAGCGCAUGGGGUGGGAAGAAAUGGGCUACAUUUUCUAUCACAGAAUAUUACGAAAGGUAUCCUGAAACAUAAUACCUGAAGGAGGAUUUAGUAGUAAAAAGCAAAUAGAGUGUCUUUUUGAAUUAGGCUCUGAGGCGCGCACACACCGCCCGUCACUCUCCCCUUCCUACCACAAUCAACUAAACAUAAUUAAUUAUACACAUUAAACUACGGGGAGGCAAGUCGUAACAUGG